rnacentral:rRNA from 1 species
AACGUAGGGGACGAGCGUUAUCCGGAUUUACUGGGCGUAAAGCGCCCGCAGGCGGUUGGGUAAGUUGGCCGUGAAAGCUCCUGGCUUAACUGGGAGAGGUCGGUUGAGACUGCCUGACUUGAGGCCGAGAGAGGAGAGCGGAAUUCCCGGUGUAGUGGUGGAAUGCGUAGAUAUCGGAAGGAACAUCAGUGGCGAAGGCGACUUCCUGGACCAAUACUGACGCUCAGGUGCGAAAGCGUGGGGAGCAAACGGG